rnacentral:rRNA from 1 species
UGGCGGACGGGUGAGUAAUGUCUGGGAAACUGCCCGAUGGAGGGGGAUAACUACUGGAAACGGUAGCUAAUACCGCAUAACGUCGCAAGACCAAAGAGGGGGACCUUCGGGCCUCUUGCCAUCGGAUGUGCCCAGAUGGGAUUAGCUAGUAGGUGGGGUAACGGCUCACCUAGGCGACGAUCCCUAGCUGGUCUGAGAGGAUGACCAGCCACACUGGACUGAGACACGGUCCAG